CACAAUAGUGCAGAACUAAACCAGAUUUGGCAAUUUUUUUUUUAAAUUGAUGAUGGAGAGAGUAGCUGUGUGCUCCCAGAAGUCUACUACAAAUCAAAAUAUGGAGUCCUAGCCUCAGCUUUGACAUGAAUUCUUUGUGUCACUCUGUAUAAGUCACCUAACUUUUCUAGGUGUCUUUUUUCCUGAGGAAAUUGUGAAAAAUCAAUGUUAACAAAAAGACAGAUUCUUGGUGUGAGACCUACUGCAUCAGACAUGUUUGGAACUCCCUUUGGCUGUGGACAAGUGAACAGGACUUGAGAGUGGAGUCAGGAGAUGCGGGCUGGAUCCCUGGCUCUGUCCCAGUCUCUUGCUGUCCUUGGCCAAGUCAAUUAACCUCCUCGUGCCCCAGAUUCCUGACAACUGGGCAAACCCUUACUACUACCUACUUCACAGCCCUGCUCCUGACUUCCAGACUUCAAAAACAAGGUUCUGCUGCCAUAUUAUCCUAGAACUUCCCUCAGUACCUGAGACCUCCUUGCUGGGCAAUAUCUCAUCAUCCCUACAGACUUCUCAACCUGGAAUUUACCCUUUCAAGGCCUACCCUCCUCUCCCUUGGGUUUGAUACAUAUGGCACAAUGCCAUGUAUGAAAGGGAGCAUUUAAAAAGAACCUUGGAAUCAACAGGAAAGACUUUUUGUGGUUUGGACUUCCCAUGAGACAUCCUCCACAGUGCUGGUGAAUACUAAUACACCAUCCUAUUUUUUGUGUCACCUGAAAUUUAUAAUCAGCAACUUGCAGAACUAAGUUAACUUCCCACUCACAUUUGCCAUACAAUCUUCUAUUUUUAAAAAAAAAAACAAAGUAUAUGUGAGAAACACUCUUUGUGGAAGGCCUUUAUAGAUAUAUUCCUCUGCUGAGAGAAACUGAUGAUUUUAAAUCAGCAAACAAUAAACACUUGUAAAGAUGUAAUCUGGUACAGAAAAAUAAGCGUACGAAAGUCUACCAGUUCUUUCCUUCCCUCCAUUUCAAU